UUCCGGUUGAUCCUGCCGGACCCGAUUGCUAUUUGGGUGAGAAUAAGCCAUGCGAGUUGAAUGGAAUACCUAAAUUUCCCAUAGCAAACUGCUCAGUAACACAUGAUCAACUUACCCUAUAGAGAAGAAUAACCUCGGGAAACUGAGGAUAAUGUUUCAUAAUUGAAUUGGCUUGGAAAAGUUUUUCAAUGAAAGGGAUAAAAAAAAUGGUUUUUAUCCGCUAUAGGAUAGGAUCGUGCUCGAUUAUGGUCGUUGGUGAGGUAACGGCUCACCAAGCCGAUAAUCGAUAGGGGCCGUGAGAGCGGGAGCCCCGAGAUGGGUACUGAGACAGCGACCCAGGCCUUACGAGGCGCAGCAGGCGCGGAACCUCCGCAAUACACGAAAGUGUGACGGGGUUACCCAAAGUGUUCAUUUAUGGACUGUGGUAGGUGAGUAAUGUCCCCUACUAGAAAGGAGAGGGCAAGGCUGGUGCCAGCCGCCGCGGUAAAACCAGCUCUUCAAGUGGUCGGGAUAAUUAUUGGGCUUAAAGUGUCCGUAGCCGGUUUAGUAAGUUCCUGGUAAAAUCAGGUAGCCUAGCUAUCUGCAUGCUAGGAAUACUGCUAUACUAGAGGGCGGGAGAGGUCUGAGGUACUACAGGGGUAGGGGUGAAAUCUUAUAAUCCUUGUAGGACCACCAGUGGCGAAGGCGUCAGACUGGAACGUGCCUGACGGUGAGGGACGAAAGCCAGGGGAGCGAACCGGAUUAGAUACCCGGGUAGUCCUGGCCGUAAACGAUGCAUACUAGGUGAUGGCAUGGCCAUGAGCCAUGUCAGUGCCGUAGGGAAACCGUUAAGUGUGCCGCCUGGGAAGUACGGUCGCAAGGCUAAAACUUAAAGGAAUUGGCGGGGGAGCACCACAAGGGGUGAAGCCUGCGGUUCAAUUGGACUCAACGCCGGU
rnacentral:rRNA from 1 species